GGAAUAGGAACAUGACCAUUAGAUAGAAAGGUAUAGUUGUUGAAGCCUUCCAGCAGCAGAUCAUCUAAAAGACAAAGAAGAAAAGUGAGUAUUUGGGUAGCAUAAAAAGGGCUGGAAAUGAUUAGGACCUGGAGUUACAUCAAUGAAAACAGCAAAGACAGGCGAGAACUUCAGCCACACCAGUAUCUCAGAGAACUGCAUCAACAUAAAUUAAUAUUACAGUUCAGAGCAAAAUGAUGAACUUUAAUCACCAAGAUUUAGAAAUGUCUUUUUUAUCAAAACGUAUCCUUCUGCCUGGAAGGUAUCCUCAAGAUUGAGAAAAAACAAGAUACAUUUUUUACAACAGCAUAUCAACAAGAACGCACUUGGCAGCUUUAUGAAGUCCUGAAGUAAUAAGCCCUAUGUUGCUAAGUUGUGCAGUCUGACCUGCAAAACCUCCCACUGACAUGCUGGCCUCUGCACGUUCAUGGAGGGAGAAUAUGCAACAUUGCUCCAUUUCCUUCAAAAGUUUCAACAUAUUGCAAAGAGACAAUAGCAGAAGGCAGCAGAAUUACCCAUCCUCGCUGGACUACUCUCACUGGCAUCUGGCAGUGCUGCAGAAGCCAUCCACCCAUCCACCCACCUCUGGCUCCUCUGCCCUGGACCAUGGUGCCCCCUCUUGUGCUGCAUCAUGCCUUCAUGCAGCGACACUGCACACCAGGCUGCAGUAACACACUAUUAAAUGAACCUAGCAAAAAGCUGAAUCGUUUCUGCAUGAAGACUGGUGCUGGGAGUAUUGGGAUGAGGAGGCUGAGCCCUUUGCAUAGCCAGAGUGCAGUGCUAUUGCAACUGCAAUGAGAAGCUACUGCAUCCAUAACACAGGGUAUAGAGGUCAGUAAAGAAACAUAAGGGGUCUUUUUUAGGAUCGUUGUCUCUGGCAUCCAAGUAUUCAAUUUCUGUUAACAGUAGCUGUGUUGUUACAAGAACAACUUUGAUGGGACUUGAACAUCAUCUCUAAUGAAUACAUUAACCAAGUAAGUUGUGAAAACAGAGGAGGAGCCUUUUUGCUGGAUGUUUGUGCCAACAGAGGGUUUGAAUGUGAAGGGUUCUGAUCUCCAGCUGAUGAACCUGCAGUAGGACCAGCUAUUGGCUGACACCAUUACUUGACUGGUUGAGAGCUAGAGGUAGCCCAGGACAUUUGAACAAGCUGACUGCUUUUGGCCAGGCAGUCCUGAUCUCAAAGUACUAUAAUGUAAUUCUUCAGUCUCAUGAACCUAAGAUAUAUGUUAGUUUGGCAAGAAGAAACUAAGCAAGUUUCUCAGAUAAGGAGUAAUAUUGAUGUUUCUCAAGUAAAACAUCCAGUGCCCUGAUCCAUGUUUAUGAACAUGAAUCUCUCUCUUUAUACUCCCUUUACAUAUGUGCUUACAAAGUCCCAUGCACUCUGUCCAUUUGUAUUGCAUACACACACACUCUAUUAUGUUGAUGCCCACUCUCACCACCUCAGCAUGAAUACAAUUUGGCUACAUAACUAGUUACAUUAAGCUUUGGUUUAGUUUUAUGAACAAAACACAAGUCUGUUUUUCCAAACAAAAGCUCAGCUUUAAAGGCAGCUGGGGCCCUCUUCAGAGAUGGAGAGACUCCAAAACUGCAUGUGCAAGUAAAUAAGCAAGUAAAGCGUGGGCGUCCUGGGCUUGUGAUGCAAGUUCUUGUGGGAAGGGUUUGACUGCUAUGCCAGCUGUGUGUGGUUAGGAAGAGGUAGUGGAAGUGCCUCUCUUAAAGUUCAACUUAUGGUCUGUUCCCUCCUCCUUUCUUUCCCCUUCCUUCCUAUUUGUUCUCCCCUUCCUCUUUUCUAUCAGGAAGGUUUCCUUCCAGAAAAGACACAUGAAUCAUAAGGUAUGAAGAUCCAUCAAGAUUUGGUGGGGUCAGAACAUUAUUCCAAGCACCAAAAAAGUGAAUAGAAAGAAGGGAAAGCAUCCACUUGUGCUGCCUUCUCCUCCCAACCUGGGAGGCACAGCUAAAUCCUGGAUGUUCUAGAAGUAGUUAAUGACUGAAGUGAAGGGUCAUCAAGCUCAAGUGGCUUCAAAAGACCACCAGGAACAACAGGAGAGAGGAAGAGUGAAAGAGGUCCUUAUGAUGUUGGGAUCAGGCAGAGUAGUAGUUUCAUCUUAAGAAGGAAAAUCAUAUAUACUGCUACACUGAAACACUCCUUAUUUUUCAGUAGUAGAUGCAGUAUUACAUUCCUUUUUUUUCCCUGUUGGUAUCUUGCAGCACUUUCUUAGUUGACUUUUCCUUCAUCCCACUUUUAGGGACAAAUAGAGUUUUGUGCUGAAUGAGAAGGGUACUGCUGAACUUCUUGCAUAGCUCCCCAGUGAGGCUCACUGCUGAAAGGCUUUGGGGAAAGAAGGCUGCUUUGACAGCAGAGCCUGCUCAGAACCCUGAGAAGUGCUGCAUGCAGAGCACAGAGAUCAACACCUGAUCUGCAAGGCAGAUAGAUGGCUGAAGCUUACAAGGAUCUGCUUCUACCAAGUAAGUUUCUUUCACCUGUGGCUCCAUUAAAUGAGAUUCAAUGCAUCAUGUUGUUCUAAAAGCUUAAACCUGUCCUCUCAGCCCUAAAUAUUUUUUAUAUACCUGUCCUUGUUGUUAAAGUAAGGAGGAAUGUCUGAUUUCAGUAUGUCUGUUAUUGGUGCUUUAUUGAUCCUCCUUUGCUGCACUGUAAUUCUGCCUCCUGUGGGUGAUAGAGUUGAUACAGCUCCAGAAAAGAAAUGUUCCAUAAGUGACAGGAAGAAAAAAUGUUGAUGUUUUAAGGCAAAGUUUAUAGUUCAUUAUAUUUCAAGUAUGUGCAUGUCUGAAAAUGUAAGAUCCUAAGGUUAGAAACCAAAGUUACAAUUAGCUGAUCAACUCACAUAAGUAAAUGAUCUUCAGGUGGUUUUUGUUAUCUGGGUUAUUUUGUUAACACUGCAGUUAGUACAGAAACUACUCAAGACAUCUCUGGGGAGAAAAAACCUGCUUUGAUGCUUUUGAUAUCUGUCACCAUUGGUGCGUGUAUCCUUAUGAAGUGUUUGUUCCAAAAUAAUAGAGAUUUGGUUGAUAUUUAAAGACAGCAGAAGUCUGAAAGAUGGUCAAAUUAGACAGCACAGAGGCUUAUCAUAUACUUUGUCUACUUUCUCUACUCUGAGCCUUGAAUUAUAACAACAUGAACCAUCUGCAAUGUUCUGAACAGACUGAUCUUAAGAUCUAGUCAACUUACUUCUUUCAGAUUUCAACCACAGGAGUGCUGCAAUCAUUGUGAUCACAAUGUGUGCCAGGGUCAUGGUUAGAUAAAGUGCAAAAUGGUUUUGAAUGGAUUAGUAUCUCCAUAGCAAUUGCUGUUCUCUGUUUGUAUGUAAACGUUGCUAAGAAGUCAAUGCUGGGUAUUUAUCUAGCAGCUAAACUGACAUUUCUAGAUGCUGUUAAUCAUUUUUCCCCUGUCAGACCAAAAAUCCGUAAGCACUAAACCCUUAGAUCCUUAAACCUGAAACAAGGCAGCCCUGAGCUUCAGGGCUGGGUUUGCAAAUCUUGUUGAACCACAGUUGUAGGGCAGAACUUCUGCAGGAACAGACCUCAAAUGGAGAUUUACAUUUCAAAGUGUUCUGCAGCCUCCUGGUUCCCCCCGAGCACCCGAGGCUGCUGUGAGAUGGCAGCCAGUCACGUCCCUGCAUUCUGUAGAUAUUGCAGCCUUGUGUGGUCAUUGCUAUAGCAUUUUUAUCUCUAAAUGAAUGAUCUUUCCUUAGGACAAAAUCCUCUUAGCCUGUCAGGAUUCAAUGCAGAAAUUCCCUAUGUGUUUUUAAGGUCUCAUUGUAUGCUUUGAGGUCUGACUCCUUUCCCACUGCUGUUCCAUUAGAAAACAGAGCACAUCUCAACUCAAGACUCCAAAGCAUUAGACUGUACUAACAGUAGUCCCAUAGUGUUAUUUCAAUCUGCUUACUAGGAGAGAGCGAGGAGCAAUGCUGACAGAUACAACAGCCUUAGCAGCUAACUUUGGAAUAGUCUCCACUGGUGCAAAGGGAGCGUUUUCCAUGCCCGUAUUUGCCAAAACUAUUUGCUCAACUUUGAAACCUUCCCACAUGCCUCGACACAGAUGGGUAAAAGGAUUGUUUUUCCUUUUUGAGUCAGUGUUUGUGGAGUGCCGUCCCUGCCAAAGAAUUCCACCGAAACUUCUUGAAAGUCCAUGUCUCCCUCUGUAUCGGAGCUUUUCUGACUGUGCUUCUUGCAGGAGCACAAGUGCAGCAGUACAUUGUUUUCUCUCAUGUUAAAGUGCAGUGAUUUCUAAGA